UUUUACCUACUUCGGAAAAAGCAACAUGACGCAAAGUGUCUGAGUUCAGAGGCAGAGCCAGAUGGCAGAAACCCGCCGAGAGACGCGGCGUUUAGCGCGCAGGUAGAAGCUCAGGUGGAACCCACAGAGAUACAGGAAGAAGGCUGCAGAAACCUCUAGGAAAGAUAUGGAGGACUCCUCGAUGAAGGAUUCCUCAGCUGGGGAAGAGGUGUCACUGGGCUGCUCCACUUUAACCCUGACUCCUCUGGUACCUGAGUCACCGCCUGUCCGCCGCUCCCAGCCCAUCUCAAUUAUCUCAAGCAGGAAGAAAGGAGGUGAAUUUUUGUCUCCCUUUGUGUCCCCCAUACCAAACCCUUUUCCAGAGCUGUGCAGCCUCCCUCAAUCUUCAUUGCUUAACAGUUCACUUCCAUCAGAAUCAAGUGACAAAUGUGUGAGUA